rnacentral:rRNA from 1 species
AUUGAACGCUGGCGGCAGGCCUAACACAUGCAAGUCGAACGGCAGCGGGGGGAAGCUUGCUUCCCCGCCGGCGAGUGGCGGACGGGUGAGUAAUGCCUGGGGAGCUGCCCAAUCGAGGGGGAUACCAGUUGGAAACGACUGCUAAUACCGCAUACGCCCUGAGGGGGAAAGGUGGGGAUCUUCGGACCUAUCGCGAUUGGAUGCACCCAGGUGGGAUUAGCUAGUUGGUGAGGUAACGGCUCACCAAGGCGACGAUCUCUAGCUGGUCUGAGAGGAUUACCAGCCACACUGGAACUGAGACAAGGUCCAGACUCCUACGGGAGGCAGCAGUGGGGAAUAUUGCACAAUGGGGGAAACCCUGAUGCAGCCAUGCCGCGUGUGUGAAGAAGGCCUUCGGGUUGUAAAGCACUUUCAGCGAGGAGGAAAGGGGUGAUGCUAAUACCAUCAUCCUGUGACGUUACUCGCAGAAGAAGCACCGGCUAACUCCGUGCCAGCAGCCGCCGUAAAAC